rnacentral:rRNA from 1 species
CACGGGGGGAGCAAGCGUUGUUCGGAAUUACUGGGCGUUAAGCGCACGUAGGCGGAUCGAUCAGUCAGGGGUGAAAUCCCAGGGCUCAACCCUGGAACUGCCUUUGAUACUGUCGAUCUGGAGUAUGGAAGAGGUGAGUGGAAUUCCGAGUGUAGAGGUGAAAUUCGUAGAUAUUCGGAAGAACACCAGUGGCGAAGGCGACUUACUGGACACAUAUUGACGCUGAGGUGCGAAAGCGUGGGGAGCAAACAGG